UGAACCACUGGCCCAGUGAGCCGGGGAGGAGAUGGAAGCAACCAGGAGCAGAGCUCUGCAGGGGGAUCCUGCUCUUGGCCUCUGCACCCACCUCACAGGUCCUGGAGCCACAGGUGCAUGCAAGCGAAGGCAACUGGGAACAAAUAUUGCAGCCUUUAUCUCCAGGAUGGGCUUGGAAAGCUGUGACAGAAGGCAGCUCAGGAAUGAUUUCAGGAUGUUGAGUCCAGCUCAGCAGGGCUGGGCAGCUCUCAGGAAUGGGGGUUGGACGCCCUGUGGAGGCAUCACCCUGUGCUAAGCUGAGCCUUGAGCCCAGAGCAACACACUUUGUGAGUGCCCCUAGCCAAGCACCUCUGCGAGGAUCCUGCUCCUCUCUGAAGUGUCUCAUUUGGGGAAAAAAUUGCUGUGGAUAUAAAGCAAUAUCUCUUCCUUAGUGAUUUUGGGUUGGAUUUUUUUUUUU